GGCGGCGGGGCAGCGUUGAGGCGGCGGCGGACCCGACCCUGUCCCGGUGGCCGUCCCGGUCUGGUCCCGGUCUCCGUCCCGAGCCCCUCUGGGGUACCUGAGGCGGCUCCUGGCUGACCUUGCGGUGGCCCGAAGAAGGAGGGACCGCGGUUGUGUCCCUUCAGCGGCAAAGGGCAGGAUCCUGCCCUUUCGGCUGCUGCGCUGAAGGAUCUGACACAAACUGCCCUAUAUUUCAAAGGACGGAGCUUAACAGGACAGGAUAGGUGUGGAGCGGGGAGGAAGCCGAUGUCGACCCUGCGAUGGCUGCGGCGAGCAAGGGAGAACGGCUCCUGGAUCUCUGGAUUGUGAAAGCAGGAGCUGGUCCAGCAGAUGUGAUGUUUGCACCCUGUGUAUCAGCAUCCACACACUGUGAUUGUGCCCCAAAGUGGGGAAAUCCACGUGGGUUGGCCGUUUGUUUGCCUUGUUAACCAGCUUAGAGUCCAAGCAGCACCUUCCUAGAAAGAGUUCCAUUAAAAUGCAAAUGAAGACUCUGCAGAAAUUGUCUCUCGAUGCAAAGAAGGACUCGAUUUCUUACACUUAAGCAACACGGUGCCAGGCGGGUGUCCCGCUGCCUCCUGCACAUGCAGUCCUCUGCCUUCACCUCCUCAUACGUGUGUUUGCCAGUCCCUGUCACCUGCAGGUGAAAAGCACCGGAGCUGAACAGCCAGAAUCCCUUUUUCUACCCUCAAUGCUCAAGUGUUCCAUGUGAAGCUCUUCCCCGCAGCGCCUGCAGGUGCUAAAUCCUUCUGUUGUGUAAAUACUGCAAGUGCUCAGCCUGUCCUCAGAAGAGAGGUGGUUUCUCCUCAUAAAGGAGGGAAGAACGUGCGUGGGGGAAAAAGAACAGGAAAAAAGAGCUGGUGGAAAAAUCAGGGUAGUUCAUGAGAUUUUUGGUGUGCAAAGUGCCAGGAAUGAGGUGAACAAAGGAGAGGUCAAGAGCACAGAUGCACCUCUGUGAGAUUAAAGAGACUGUUUCUGGCUCAAAUCAAUGUCGUUUGCGCGCCACCAUGUCAGAGAGUUCAUCGAGGCAGAGACCACUGGAGGUCUGGACUUUAAUUGUUUUUAGCCACUGGGAAAACAGGUAAAUUCUGUAUUCCUAUAGCACAGGAGUGCUUGGAAUCACCCCGUGGUGGGGUGAGGUGGGACCAGAGUGGGGACCAGCAUAGAGGAAAGCUGCCUUCAUACCACAUCCCAUCUGCAAAAUCAUCAGGAAUGCUGAAGCGUUCUCAUCCCAGCUCCUCUCUUCAGCUCUGCUCCACCUUACAUUCAUCACGCUUGUAGGAGAUGUUAUACCUGAUAAAUUAAAAUGAUUUCUUGUGUG
ensembl:lncRNA